AGUUUCAAAUCACGUGUAUAAGGGAAGAGCAAAUCGCUGCUUAGAUUAAAGUCACGUGGUCCUCGAUCAUCUUUCGACAAAAAACAAUUCAGAACAAAUAUAAAAACCAAAGAUAAUCAAUUUAAUUAAUUAAACCGUCAUGUUUAAUCCCAGUUUAAUAGGUUGGAGUUAGGCUUAAGCAAGGACUUAUACGGUUCCUUGAAAUAUGGAAACCUAACCUCACUCUUUGUCCUGUUGAGUUUAUCGUAGCAAAACAAGCAACCACAAUGAUAGUUCCCGAUGAAGUUGUCGUGGAGGCUCUGCUCAAAGACGCCCGCAGAUUCAAGAGCAAAUGGGAAUUGCAUACAAACGAGUCGACCAGAAAUAAGCCUAACGUGAAAUUUCUAAAACGCACGUUAUCUCAUGUUGUUAAGACAAAUCAGGACCGCAUGCGAAGACCUAGAGAACCAGAAAGUGUUGAGCGGGAAUUACACCCUUCCACAAGUAAACGAAGGAACGAAAAAUCUCAAGUAAAUGAACCUUCAACGAGUUCUAAGAGAUCCCCACCUCCUCGCAAACGCCCAAAAAAAUCGAAAAGUUGUUCAAAAUCCAAAUACAGGUCCCCUGAACGGAAGAGUAGAUCUAUAGAUAAGUCUAAAAAAAAAUCGACAAGGAGUUCGUCCAGGUCAAGACGCUCACCUAAGCGAUGAUUUGUUUAUUAUUGUUAUGUUCUGGCUUGAGAAUUCGUGUUAAUAAAUUUUUAUUGAA